GAUUGACCUCAGAUCAGGUAGGGAUACCCGCUGAACUUAAGCAUAUCAAUAAGCGGAGG
rnacentral:rRNA from 1 species